rnacentral:pre_miRNA from 1 species
AGAAAUAAGGCUCCUGUCUACUAUCAGAGACACUGAUAGUGUAAAACCCAGGGUCUCCAGUAAUGGACGGGAGCCUUAUUUCU